GAUGAACGCUGGCGGCGUGCCUAAUACAUGCCAGUCGAGCGAACGGACGAGAAGCUUGCUUCUCUGAUGUUAGCGGCGGACGGGUGAGUAACACGUGGAUAACCUACCUAUAAGACUGGGAUAACUUCGGGAAACCGGAGCUAAUACCGGAUAAUAUUUUGAACCGCAUGGUUCAAAAGUGAAAGACGGUCUUGCUGUCACUUAUAGAUGGAUCCGCGCUGCAUUAGCUAGUUGGUAAGGUAACGGCUUACCAAGGCAACGAUGCAUAGCCGACCUGAGAGGGUGAUCGGCCACACUGGAACUGAGACACGGUCCAGACUCCUACGGGAGGCAGCAGUAGGGAAUCUUCCGCAAUGGGCGAAAGCCUGACGGAGCAACGCCGCGUGAGUGAUGAAGGUCUUCGGAUCGUAAAACUCUGUUAUUAGGGAAGAACAUAUGUGUAAGUAACUGUGCACAUCUUGACGGUACCUAAUCAGAAAGCCACGGCUAACUACG
rnacentral:rRNA from 1 species